UUCUUAUCCAGAGUGGCGGAGGGACUGGCCCAAAGAAACCCGACAACCAGCAUGUAGUUCAUGUAUGGUGUUAAUUCCAGGAGCACAAUUUGUGUUCAAAAGAUAAGAA
rnacentral:ncRNA from 2 species